rnacentral:rRNA from 1 species
UACGAAGGGGGCGAGCGUUGUUCGGAAUUACUGGGCGUAAAGGGCGCGCAGGCGGCCUUAGCAGUCAGAUGUGAAAGCCCCGGGCUCAACCUGGGAAUGGCAUUUGAUACUCUGAGGCUGGAGUACGGGAGAGGAGAGUGGAAUUCCCAGUGUAGAGGUGAAAUUCGUAGAUAUUGGGAAGAACACCGGUGGCGAAGGCGGCUCUCUGGACCGUAACUGACGCUGAGGCGCGAAAGCGUGGGGAGCAAACAGG